GACGAGCGCUGGCGGCGUGGAUUAGGCAUGCAAGUCGGACGGUAGGGCUUUAUCGUAAGAUAGAGUUUGAGAGUGGCGAACGGGUGAGUAACACGUAGGAAUCUACCCUUAAGACGGGGACAACCCAGGGAAACUUGGGCUAAUACCGGAUGAGAGUGCGAGAGAUUGCAUUUAAAAGGAUGGCGAAAGUUGUCGCUUAGGGAUGAGCCUGCGGUCUAUUAGCUAGUUGGUGAGGUAACGGCUUACCAAGGCGACGAUCUGUAGCGGGUCUGAGAGGAUGAUCCGCCACACUGGAACUGAGACACGGUCCAGACUCCUACGGGAGGCAGCAGUGGGGAAUUUUGGACAAUGGGCGCAAGCCUGAUCCAGCCAUGCCGCGUGAGUGAAGAAGGCCUUCGGGUUGUAAAGCUCUUUCGGUCCGGGAAGGAAAUCGCAUGGGUUAAUACCCUCGUGUGGAGUGACGGUACCGGAACUAAGAAGCACCGGCUAACUACGUGCCAGCAGCCGCGGU
rnacentral:rRNA from 1 species